rnacentral:lncRNA from 1 species
AUGUUGCUUUAUUUUUUACUUUAUAUCGUAAUAUGUUCGUAUUCUGAUUUUUCAGAGGGUGAAACUGUUUCUUAAAAUGUUAAUAAAAAUUUGGUCUAUUCAAGAAAGUUAAGCCUUAUUUUAAUGAAAUGCUUGCAAUGUAUCAGUGCAGAACAAAGUAGAGUAGAGGUUUGCAAUUUAUCAGUGAACUUAAGUGGAGAAAAGAGCAAAUUCAAGGAACUCAGAUCUGCAAGAGCAAUUCAGUCCUGGAUUGUCUGGACUGUCUAUUCUCCCAACUGUAUUGGAAAAGCCGACUCCCACUGUGUAGGGAACAGGACCGAACCAGGAAAAUCAUGUCAUAGAAUGAACGCUGAGUUCUUAACUCUCAAAGAAAUAACUUCAAGGUUUCAACACACAGAUUCACAUUCAUCCUCAGAAGAAACCUGCUUUAAGAACCUCUGAAAAGAACAACACACAGAACACAGUAUGUAAGCCCCAAAACUGUAGUUUUCAUGUGAGCACAAGUUCUCUUUAAGUGAAGAAAACCACUGGAAGUGUAGUCAGCUCUACUUAUGAAAGGGACAUAAAUAUUUCUCUGCAACACAUGAUAAAGACACGGAGUUUAAUUGUGCACAGUGCUCAAAAGCAAUCACCAAAGAUUUGUCAUCGAAGCCAACCCUGGUAUCUGGCCUGGUAAUAUGUGAGUGUAUCAACCCCGCUUCCCCUAACAGAAUCUGGGUCUCCCCAUUUGUUUUAUUCUUCCUGAUCCUAAAACAAUGGAAUUUCUUGUUGACAAUUAUAUAUGCCAUCAAUGAAGUACAUCCUUUUCUUAAUAUCCCAAGCAUGGAACAGACUUUUGUGUUCUUUCAUCUUGAAGGAGCUCAAAUUUCUUUUGUUGAGUUACUCAUGACCCUGUAUGAUUUUACCUCUUAAGACUACUCAGCUCAUCCCAGUUUUCCUAAGAUAUUCCUGAUUUAGGCACUCAAAGGCCUGUGCCCCAGGAAACUCCUUAGUCCUAGGAAAGUCAGGACACUUGGGCACCUUACUUCUUUGUUGACAAUCCCAACCUAAAAUAACUUCUUUGCUUCUAAAUUUUUAUGUGACAUGUUUGGCAUUUACAUUCAUUUGGUACUUUUAGAGUUCAUAUUUUGUCAUGUGUAAAGCAUUUUACCACCUCAUUAGACUUCAAUUUCUCAAGGAAGCAACAUGGUAUAAAAGAAUUUUCCAUGUUCACUGAUGCCAGACCUGAAUUCAAAUAGUGCCAAUUUUGUUAGCUUGAGAAUUCUUUUCUUUUUUUUUUUUUGUGAGAAAGAUUGGCCCAGAGCUAACAUCUUUGCUAAUAUUCCUCUUUUUGCUUGAGGAAGAUUGUUACUGAUGCUGAGCUAACAUCUGUGACAAUCUUCCUCUAUUUCGUGUGGGAUGCUACCACAGUGUGUCUUGAUAAACAGUGCUAGGUCUAUGCCCAGGAUCCAAAUCUGUGAACACCAGGCUGCCGAAGAGGAGCACUUGAACUUAACUACUAUGCCCGAGGGCCAGCCCCGAGAAUUUUACUAAUUGUUCUUUUAAUAUAAAUUUGUUUAUUUAUGAAAGAAAAACAACAUCUACUGAGCAGAUAUGAUUCUUAGUCCACAAACUCAACUGAGAAAGAAAAGUUUUUAAAAAUAUUUUGUGAAUAAAAUACUAUAUAGAAUCAUAUAUAUGGCAAUCCUAAAUGCAAUGUGAAACACGAUUUUUCUCAGUAACGAGUAUGGAAAAGAUCAUUUUUUCAAUUAUAAUAUAAAACAUGUAGAUAAUGUUGAAAAUAUCUAUUUAUAUUUAAUUGAUGAAUUUAUCUGUCAAUCCAUUUAAAAUCAUAUUAUACAAAAUAAAAAUAUUUAA